CUCGUUGUGCGACCAACGAUAGCCUAGGAAGACAUGCGUCACUGGUAACGGUGGGGUGUGAAGCUCUUCCAACAAUGUAGCCCCCGUAUGGGUGCGUCUUCGCCGUGAGGCGGAGCGCAGAUGCUCGGAGCAGUACCGGGUUGAGGCG
rfam:Pseudomonas sp. TK4 Contig171, whole genome shotgun sequence.